rnacentral:pre_miRNA from 1 species
CAACUACUCCCUCUGUCCCAAAUUUCUUGUCUUAGAUUUGUCUAGAUACGGAUGUAUCUAAUACUAAAAUGUGACUUGAUACAUCCGUAUCUAGACAAACCUAAGAUAAGAAUUUUGGGACGGAGGGAGUACUUU